rnacentral:tRNA from 1 species
GGAAUAUAGUAUAAAUAGUUAGUACGCUAGACUUUUAAUCUAGAGAUGCGGGUGCGACUCCUGCUAUUCCUC